rnacentral:rRNA from 1 species
CAGUAGCCGCGGGAAUACGAAGGGUGCAAGCGUUAAUCGGAAUUACUGGGCGUAAAGCGUGCGCAGGCGGUUUUGUAAGACAGGCGUGAAAUCCCCGGGCUCAACCUGGGAAUGGCGCUUGUGACUGCAAAGCUAGAGUGCGGCAGAGGGGGAUGGAAUUCCGCGUGUAGCAGUGAAAUGCGUAGAUAUGCGGAGGAACACCGAUGGCGAAGGCAAUCCCCUGGGCCUGCACUGACGCUCAUGCACGAAAGCGUGGGGAGCAAACAGGAUUAGAUACCCGUGUAGUCCCUGUCUCUUAUAC